ensembl:lncRNA
CCCAGCAGACGUCCUGCCUGUAAGAACUAAACCCUCAAGGGCAGAGAAAGAGAGAGAGUGAGAAGACGAAAACGGCAACACGCUGCACCACCCAGGAGCUGACUAACAGUUUAGGUCAAGGCACCUCUGGGACGGCAACCAAAGACUGGAGAAAACAGGGACAUUAUUCUGCAAAGACACAGGAGCAGGUGAAGGACAUUAAUCCAAACAUUUGAGCUGGAUUAUCUUCAGUGAGGAUUGAGGACGCAUUUAAAACAGCUGCUCUCUGAGAAUGUAACUCCUGCACUUCUACUUUGCGAGACUCCAGCAAGUUUAUCGCACAGCCGAGGAGAUCUGAACUUCCAGAGCAUUCCC